rnacentral:lncRNA from 1 species
AAUACACUCUCUUGCCCUUGAAGUUACUCAGGGCUAUAUGACUUUCUGGGGAAAGUUUAUAGUGUGGUGCUGCUGCUCCACUCUCCAAGGGCUCCCCCGACACUGCCCUUGGUCCCACCACUGUGCUCAUAGCGGCAUGUGUGGAUAUGGAUAGCAGAUGUGAAUUGGAAGCAGCCUGGAACAUUGCAUCAACACAUGAAGGGCAGCUCCCAGGAAAGACACCUGCUCUGCAGACUUGGAUAGCAAGAAAUAAGCCAUUGUUGUAUGAAGCCAAUCAGAUUUUUAUAUUCCAGCAUAACUUUGCCCAUCCUGAGAUACUGUCCAAAGGAGUGUGAAAAUUGCAGUGCAUGCAUGCAGAGAAUAAAGACGACAUUCUGAGCCUCCCUUACAGUGAGGUAUUGUCCUGUGACUAAGCUCUAGCUAACAGGAUUUGCAUGGAAGUACUGCAUUCAACUUCUGGAUUGCACACUUCAAGGGACAGGGAGAGUUCUCCCUGUUGUUUCUGCCUUGCUGGCUGAAACGCAUCCAUGGUGGUGAGACACCUGGGACUCCACAAUUAAGGGCAGUACCUCGUGGAGUGUGAGAAGCAAUACACAAGAAGCCUGGGACUCUGAACACUUUGUGGAACAAAGCCACUACAGCAGCUCAGACUUUUUCAAGAAGAAAUAAACUUCCAUUUUU